GAUGAAGAACGUAGCGAAAUGCGAUAAGUAAUGUGAAUUGCAGAAUUCAGUGAAUCAUCGAAUCUUUGAACGCACAUUGCGCCCGCCAGUAUUCUGGCGGGCAUGCUUGUUCGAGCGUCAUUACAACCCUCAGGCCCCCGGGCCUGGCGUUGGGGAUCGGCGGAGCCCCCCGUGGGCACACGCCGUCCCCCAAAUACAGUGGCGGUCCCGCCGCAGCUUCCAUCGCGUAGUAGCUAACACCUCGCGACUGGAGAGCGGCGCGGCCACGCCGUAAAACACCCAACUCUUCUGAAGUUGACCUCGAAUCAGGUAGGAAUACCCGCUGAACUUAAGCAUAUCAAUAAGCGGAGGA
rnacentral:misc_RNA from 1 species